GGAAGCAGCAGCUCAGACCCUCUCCUGACCUCUGCCACUCACCCAGGUGGUUUCCUCCCAGCAGGUGCAGCCACUAUGUCACCCUGGGCUUCUGUCCACCUGCCAGGACUUGGAGCCAAGCCGGGUCUCCUUGCAAUCCUAUGCGCCCUCCUGUUUCCCGGAGGCUAACGCCCACGGACUACACUAAUGGACAUCUUUGUUGUGAUUUCCACUGAAUGUCGGCCAGUGAGAGUUGAAGUUCAAAGGAACCAUGACCUCAUCAUUUGACAACAAUUUCCAUUCCUUGGGCACUAGACUUCCAAACCUGUGGAUCCAGGGCCCUGGGAGAAAAGAAACAGAUUCUUUCAGUGGGUUAAUUGGUAUAAAAGGGAAUGGCCACUCCCACCUACACCUCUUGGGUCCCGAGCACAAAUUCUGUCUCUGGGGUAGAGGGCCCUAUAUGUUGGCCCCAGGGGAGGAUGCAGCCAACCCAAGGCCACCUGUCAGGAGGGAACCCUGAGCUCACUCUGCUCCCAACUCCCAGCCUCUUCCUGAUGCUUCCACUUACUGCUUCCAAAUAGCAACCAGAGAAUAAGGAAACCCAUCCAUGCAGUCCAUGAGGGUCUACUCGUAAUGCCCAGAAUGAGGUAAAGAAAGAUGGACAGUCCAUCUGGAGGAGCAAAAGGAAGAAAUCAAGCAGAUGGUCACUUAAGUGGGUUAUGUUUUCCACCAAAUAAGUAAAAUAAGCUGGGGAAUAGGGGGCCACUUUGAAUUUGCUUAAUGUUUGUUAACUUUACAAGAAUAUAUGUCGGCAUUUGUGAGCAAAUUUGGGUUGUCUCAGACCUGCUGCCCUACCCAGUGGAGCCUGGUCAGGACACUAUGAGGGCCAUUCAUGAAGCCAUGGCUAAGGGUCACAGUGGGCACGCAUCUGAAUGAGUUCCUUUGUGGGCAUUCUGCCCCAGGACCCUUCCUGCUAGUGGAAGGGAAAAGGCUAACAAAAACCACAUAUCUUCUCUGUUUAGUGAGCUAGUUUUAGCAGAAAGUGUCAGGGAAAAUACAUGGAGAGCACUCAAAAUCCCAUAACCAGACUUAAAUAAACACUCACAAUGUGCAAAGAGGAUGAUGCUUUGGAAAUCUGUAGCUGGCAGAGUUUUAUUUUCCCAUAUACAUCAUGUCACUGGGAGCCUUUCUCAGGUUACACCAAACAUUGACAGAUACCAUCCACAAAAGCAGGCAGUGGCCGUGCCCAGAAUAAGCUCAUUUUAAAAGUUAAUUAU